rnacentral:rRNA from 1 species
UACGUAGGUGGCAAGCGUUGUCCGGAAUUAUUGGGCGUAAAGCGCGCGCAGGCGGUCUCUUAGGUCUGAUGUGAAAUCCCGUGGCUUAACCACGGGCGGUCAUUGGAAACUGGGGGACUUGAGUGCAGAAGAGAAGAGCGGAAUUCCACGUGUAGCGGUGAAAUGCGUAGAGAUGUGGAGGAACACCAGUGGCGAAGGCGGCUCUUUGGUCUGUAACUGACGCUGAGGCGCGAAAGCGUGGGGAGCGAACAGG